GAUGUAGGGAGAUUACUGAAUUAGUAAAUAACAAGAAGGGAAGGGGAGGAGAAGAGAAGAAGAAGGCAGAAACGGGGAGGAGGAGAGAAAACGGCCAAGCCAACUUUAUAAUUCUUAAUCAAUUCAUCAACCGAGAAAUUACAAACCAAUGAUAGGUUUAAAUAAUGAAAACCUAGAAAUAUAGGGCCAAGCCCAUUAUUCAAGUCCUAAUUAAAAUACGUAAACUUAAA
rnacentral:lncRNA from 1 species